rnacentral:rRNA from 1 species
UGGGGAAUAUUGGACAAUGGGCGAAAGCCUGAUCCAGCCAUGCCGCGUGUGUGAAGAAGGUCUUCGGCUUGUAAAGCACUUUAAGUUGGGAGGAAGGGCAUUAACCUAAUACGUUAGUGUUUUGACGUUACCGACAGAAUAAGCACCGGCUAACUCUGUGCCAGCAGCCGCGGAAAUACAGAGGGUGCAAGCGUUAAUCGGAAUUAGUGGGCGUAAAGCGCGCGUAGGUGGUUUGUUAAGUUGGAUGUGAAAUCCCCGGGCUCAACCUGGGAACUGCAUUCAAAACUGACUGACUAGAGUAUGGUAGAGGGUGGUGGAAUUUCCUGUGUAGCGGUGAAAUGCGUAGAUAUAGGAAGGAACACCAGUGGCGAAGGCGACCACCUGGACUAAUACUGACACUGAGGUGCGAAAGCGUGGGGAGCAAACA